UGGGGAAUAUUGCACAAUGGGCGAAAGCCUGAUGCAGCAACGCCGCGUGAGUGAUGAAGGCCUUCGGGUUGUAAAGCUCUGUCUUUUGGGACGAUAAUGACGGUACCAAAGGAGGAAGCCACGGCUAACUACGUGCCAGCAGCCGCGGUAAUACGUAGGUGGCAAGCGUUGUCCGGAUUUACUGGGCGUAAAGGAUGCGUAGGCGGAUUUUUAAGUGAGAUGUGAAAACCCUAAGCUUAAUCUUGGGGGACUGCAUUUCAUACUGGGAAAAUCUAGAGUGCGGGAGAAGGAGAAUGGAAUUCCUAGUGUAGCGGUGAAAUGCGUAAGAGAUUAGGAAGAACACCAGUGGCGAAGGCGAUUCUCUGGACCGUAACUGACGCUGAGGCAUGAAAGCGUGGGUAGCAAAACAGGAUUAGAUACCCUGGUAGUCCACGCCGUAAAACGAUGAGUACUAGUGUAGGAGGUAUCGACCCUUCUGUGCCGCAGUUAACACAAUAAGUACUCCGCCUGGGAAGUACGAUCGCAAGAUUAAAAACUC
rnacentral:rRNA from 1 species